rnacentral:rRNA from 1 species
UACGGAGGGUGCAAGCGUUGUCCGGAUUUAUUGGGUUUAAAGGGUGCGUAGGCGGCCCGGUAAGUCAGUGGUGAAAGCCUCCAGCUCAACUGGAGAACUGCCAUUGAUACUGCCGGGCUUGAGUACAGACGAGGUUGGCGGAAUUGAUUGUGUAGCGGUGAAAUGCAUAGAUACAAUCAAGAACUCCGAUUGCGUAGGCAGCUAACUAGGCUGUAACUGACGCUGAGGCACGAAAGUGUGGGAUCAAACAGG